rnacentral:tRNA from 1 species
ACCUGGGUGGCUCAGUCGGUUAAGCACCUGACUUCAGCUCAGGUCAUGAUCUCACGGUUCGUGAGUUCGAGCCCCACGUCGGGUU